CUCAGCUUGGAUUACAGAUGAAAAGCACAGGACACAGUGAAAUCUGUCCAACAAACUCCACAGUGCGCUGUCGUUAGUGGACCACAGGGGACGAUCAGAAGGAACCGCAGUCAUCUCGUACCUAUACCCACACCAGAGAUUCAGAAUGAGCCACAAAUGAAUGAAAAGAACACUCCUACAGAGACUGUUUGAGUCAAAAGCACAACAAACACCAGAUGUUGUCCGAAACAGGUCUGGUAGAGAGGUGAUAAAACCAAAAAAGUCUAAAUCUGUAAAAGUUAUCCAUUAAUAUUUCUCAUAUGCUGAGUUUAAAUUCUAAACAUUGACCUAAAAAUACAAUACAGGAUUCUUUUGCAUAAAAACGUGACAUAAUUCAUGGAAUAAUUGUUUAAAAAGAAAAACAAGAAUGUUAUGGGAUUGUAGAAAUGUAAAUGAAUUAUAUUUGCCCUAAUAUAGUUAGUUAACCAAUGUGAAGUGAGACUAUUUGAUAUUCUAAAUGUAUUUUUGUGUUUGCAGCUAAGAAGCCAACAAAUAAGCUGCUGCUCAUUCACUGGACACAGCUGGAAACUAAAACUUCUCUGGAUUUUACUGUUUCUGCCUCCACGUCUGCAGGAGUUUUCUGUUUGUUGGUUCCUCCUCCGACCACCAGGUGGCGCCUCCUGCUGUGGAUUGAGGCUGUUGGUGAGAAAGUGAAGGUGGAUCAGCUGCAGCUGACGCUGGUUUGUUGUUGUUUCUGUUGUGGCUGUACAGUGGCUCCAGAUCCAGGAUGCAGGACACUGAAUCCAGUGUCUCAUGUGGCCCUGCAGCUUCUCCUCAGAAUCCUCAGAGGCCGACUCAGAAUCACUCCCACUGGGAAGACGUGUGAAGGAAGGUCCACCCGGCCGGUCCAGGAGCUCCGGUCCAGCAGAGCAGCGUCAGGAUGGAGACGCAAGCAGGCGAGUUAACCAGAGAGCCGACACGUUCACACCGACAGCUUCCCUCCAGAUCCCACUUUAUGUCUUCAACUAGGACUGGAGGUCAUUUGUUUGGAGCUAAACUCUGCUGGGUUCUUCUGUAGUCCAUCCUUUUAAUGAAGUGACAAAGUUCUUCACAAAAUGAAAUGGAACAAUCACAAAAUGAUUAGAAUGAGAAAACCAGAUUAAAACUAUUUGAUUCAA